GCGUGAGUAGUUCAACCUGGUUUAGAACCUCAGCCUUCCAAGCUGAUGAUCCGGGUUCAAAUCCCGGCUUACGCA
rnacentral:tRNA from 1 species